rnacentral:rRNA from 1 species
UACGGGGGGGGCAAGCGUUGUUCGGAAUUACUGGGCGUAAAGGGCGCGUAGGCGGCCUGCUAAGUCGGAUGUGAAAUCCCUCGGCUUAACCGAGGAACUGCAUCCGAUACUGGCGGGCUUGAAUCCGGGAGAGGGAUGUGGAAUUCCAGGUGUAGCGGUGAAAUGCGUAGAUAUCAGGAGGAACACCGACGGCGAAGGCAGCACUCUGGGCCGGUACUGACGCUGAGGAGCGAAAGCAUGGGGAGCGAACAGG